rnacentral:tRNA from 1 species
GCGAUCAUCAGCCAGGCGGUGCGCUGGUAUUUCCGCUUCCAGCUGAGCCUACGCGACAUUGAGGAAUUGCUGUUCGAGCGCGGCGUGAGCGUC